rnacentral:rRNA from 1 species
GACGACCUGUCCUAACGUUGUUCGGAAUCAUUGGGCGUAAAGGGUGCGUAGGCGGCGCGGUAAGUCGGGUGUGAAAUCUCGGAGCUUAACUCCGAAACUGCAUUCGAUACUGCCGUGCUUGAGGACUGGAGAGGAGACUGGAAUUUACGGUGUAGCGGUGAAAUGCGUAGAUAUCGUAAGGAAGACCAGUGGCGAAGGCGGGUCUCUGGACAGUUCCUGACGCUGAGGCACGAAGGUCAGGGGAGCAAACGGG